rnacentral:rRNA from 1 species
AUUGAACGCUGGCGGCAGGCCUAACACAUGCAAGUCGAGCGAGCGGCGGACGGGUGAGUAAUGUCUGGGAAACUGCCUGAUGGAGGGGGAUAACUACUGGAAACGGUAGCUAAUACCGCAUACCAUCAGAUGUGCCCAGAUGGGAUUAGCUAGUAGGUGAGGUAACGGCUCACCUAGGCGACGAUCCCUAGCUGGUCUGAGAGGAGGAACGGCCACACUGGAACUGCGGCACGGUCCAGACUCCUACGGGAGUCAGCGGGGGGGAAUAGUGCACAAUGGGCGCAAGCCUGAUGCAGCCAUGCCGCGUGUAUGAAGAGGGCCUUCGGGUUUUAAGGUACUUUCAGCGGGGAGGCGUUACCCGCAGAAGAAGCGCCGGCUAACUCCGUGCCAGCCGCCGCGGUAAUAC